GCCGCCAUUGCCGGAGCGUCUGUGCGGGCCCGGCAGCGGCGGCAGCAGCGGCCGGAGCCCGGUGAGGCGGCGGCGGAGCUCGGAGGCGGCCCCGGCCAUCGCAGGUGGGACCCUGUGAGUGCUGCUGAGCUCGCUCACGACCCGAUCACGCUCCAGCCGGCACCGAGGGAUUCUCGGGGAGCCCAUCCGGCUGCGACCGUCUCCGCUGCUCACAACGUCCCCGGGAGAGAAAGCCCUUGAAGACAUGGCACAUAACAUCAGCCCUGCCAUCAGAAGCCUGGCAAUUCAAAAACUUUGUAUCCUCCAGGCAGUAGAGAGAACUCAAUAUUCCAUCUUUGGAAACCUGCAAGAUCAGCUCGACAUGGCACAGAGGACACGGUCUCAUCUGUCAGGCCUUGACUGGAUGCGCUGCUGGAGCUCUGCUGAGAGCUGAUCUGGGAGGCUCUGUCUGCUGGGGCCACCUGAGCCAGCCAGGAUUUUAUUUUUCUUCAAAAUUGUUCUUUCCUUAUUUUUGUUUUUGUUUAGUAUGUAAAUAU